CGUCUGUGUUCUCUGGGAAAAGCAGCUCGGGUCUGUGGAGAACAUCCACGAGCACAGAUAACUCUGCCUGCACCAGGGGCCUGAGACGGUCCUCCAGCGCGGAGACGAUGUCCUAAAACGGAAACACAGCCUCAGUCAACGGCUCAGGCAGACGCUGACCACAGGAGGCCGCCAUGAUGUGAGGAAGCCCAGGCUAUAUGGAGAUGUUUCAGUCGACAACUCCAGCUGAGGUCCCACCUGACAACCAGCAUCAACUGCCAAAUAUGCGAGUGAGCAAGGUGUCAAGAUGAGUCCAACCGCAGUCACUAUCUGACUGCAACGCCAUGAAAGACUCUAAGCAAGAAAUAGCUAGCGGAGCCCAGUCAACCUCCAGAAGAGCAAAAGAGAAUAAGAUGCACCAUCCAUAGUCUCAUCGGGGCCCUGCCCUUUGUACACCCAAAGCUCUGACUUUUCCACGAUGGAC
rnacentral:lncRNA from 1 species